GAUGAACGCUGGCGGCGUGCCUAAUACAUGCAAGUCGAGCGAACAGAUGAGGAGCUUGCUCCUCUGACGCUAGCGGCGGACGGGUGAGUAACACGUGGAUAACCUACCUAUAAGACUGGGAUAACUUCGGGAAACCGGAGCUAAUACCGGAUAAUAUAUUGAACCGCAUGGUUCAAUAGUGAAAGACGGUUUUGCUGUCACUUAUAGAUGGAUCCGCGCCGCAUUAGCUAGUUGGUAAGGUAACGGCUUACCAAGGCAACGAUGCGUAGCCGACCUGAGAGGGUGAUCGGCCACACUGGAACUGAGACACGGUCCAGACUCCUACGGGAGGCAGCAGUAGGGAAUCUUCCGCAAUGGGCGAAAGCUUGACGGAGCAACGCCGCGUGAGUGAUGAAGGUCUUCGGAUCGUAAAACUCUGUUAUUAGGGAAGAACAAAUGUGUAAGUAACUAUGCACGUCUUGACGGUACCUAAUCAGAAAGCCACGGCUAACUACGUG
rnacentral:rRNA from 1 species